rnacentral:rRNA from 1 species
CGGGGGGGCAAGCGUUGUUCGGAAUUACUGGGCGUAAAGGGCUCGUAGGCGGCCAACUAAGUCGGAUGUGAAAUCCCCAGGCUCAACCUGGGAACUGCAUCCGAUACUGGAUGGCUUGAAUUCGGGAGAGGGAUGCAGAAUUCCAGGUGUAGCGGUGAAAUGCGUAGAUAUCUGGAGGAAUACCGGUGGCGAAGGCGGCAUCCUGGACCGACAUUGACGCUGAGGAGCGAAAGCUAGGGGAGCAAACGGGAUUAGAUACCCCGGUAGUCCUAGCCCUAUACGAUGAAUGCUUGGUGUAACGGGUAUCGAUCCCUGUGUGCCGAAGCUAACGCAUUAAGCAUUCCGCCUGGGGAGUACGGUGCAAGGCUG